rnacentral:misc_RNA from 1 species
GUAGCGGGCAAGUCACGUUCCCGUAUUCUCUAAUUCCCACCGAAAGCGUCAAUUCCCUUACCUCGCAGAAAUUCACCUCUUACCUCACAUCUCUCUCUCCUACGUAUACAUUGCGUUACCAAUUCCAUUUCCCUGUCUCUCUCUAUAUUUACACACACUCUUCUCUUGCUUUUUCAUUUGCCGCCCCUCUAUCUCUCUGUAUAUGAUUUUUGAGAUCUAACGAGGAGAGGACUUAAUUCUGUGUUCUAAACCUGAAAGCUUCAGCUUCUAUGGCUUUUUUUUCUUCAUUCUAAUUAGCUUAUACUGUGAGUGUAUCUCUCUUUUUCCGCUCCCCAAUCAAUCAGAUUCUACAAGUGCUUUUCUCGUCUUCUUUAUACAAACUAUGUGGAGGUUCAAAUCCUUUACUCAAAAAGAGCCAGCAGGGCUUGAAGGUCGUUAUAUCGAUGUUGGCAAUCUUAAGAUUCAUGUCAGGAAUGCCAUUGCUGAGGGAGGUUUUUCCUGUGUUUAUUUCGCUCGGGAUGCUGUGCAUGCAUCAAAGCAAUAUGCUUUAAAGCACAUGAUAUGCAAUGAUGAGGAAUCACUGGAACUGGCAUUGAAGGAGAUAAAUGUGAUGAAAUCACUUAAAGGGCAUCCCAAUAUUGUAACACUAUAUUCACAUGCCAUCUUGGAUAUCGGAAGGACCAAGGAAGCACUCCUUGUGAUGGAAUUUUGUGAGAAGUCUCUGGUUAGUGUGCUGGAGAGCAGAGGAGCAGGAUAUUUUGAGGAAAAACAGGCCCUUUCCUUAUUCAGAGAUGCAUGCAAUGCAGUUUUUGCAAUGCAUUCUCAGUCUCCACCUAUCGCUCACAGGGACCUGAAAGCCGAAAAUCUUCUAUUGGGACCUGAUGGACUCUGGAAGCUGUGUGAUUUUGGGAGUACCUCUACCAAUCAUAAGCGUUUUGAGAAGCCUGAAGAAAUGGGAAUUGAAGAAGAUAACAUCCGAAAGUAUACAACACCUGCCUAUAGAGCCCCUGAGGUUGAAUGAAAAAAAUAUGCUUUUGAAAAUAAUCUUUCUAAACUCAUUGUGUUAUUAAUGUUUGAUUGCAGUCUUUCCUCUUUUUCUUGAUUUAGAUGUGGGAUCUGUUGCGAAGAGAUCUUAUAAGCGAGAAGGUAGACAUAUGGGCCCUUGGCUGUUUGCUCUUUCGUAUAUGCUACUUCAAAAAUGCAUUUGAUGGGGAGUCAAAGUUACAAAUAUUGAAUGGAAAUUAUCGCAUUCCAGACUUACCCAAGUACAGCACACCAGUAAAAGAUUUAAUCAGGGACAUGCUUCAAGCUUCACCAGAUGACAGACCAGACAUCACGCAGGCAAGCGCUUUGCUUGAUUGGCAAUUCAUCUCCAUGAACUUAGGUGUGGUUUCGUGUUAACGAGCAGUUACCAGUUAAUCUGCAGAAGUCAUUGCCUGAUGGACCACCUGAAAUGCAGCCUACUGGUGUACAUGAAGGUUCAAAACUUGCAAAUAGGUCACAUCCAAUGCCUCGUAGAAGUCCACCACCUCCACCUUCAUCUGGGGGAGGGGGAGGUGGGGGACAACUUGGUGCUUUCUGGUCCUCUCAACAUGCAAAGGACUCAUUCUCUGUUGAAGACAAUAGCAGACCUAAAUUUGAUGAAGAACCUAGCCAUAACACAUCUAGACAGGAUACGUGUGGAAUGGAGAAUCAUACCUUAUCCAAAAAUUCCAGCCCUGCAAAAGAUGAAAAUGCACAAACUUAUGCCACUCGGAGGAGUGUGCAUGGUAAGUCGCAGAUUUCCGAGGAUGGCACUUCCAAGGACUUUGAAAUAAAAUUCUUCCAGAAAGAAUUAGACCAUGGCAUGGAGAGGCUGAAAGCAUCAAAGAAUGAUAGCACGUCUUUAUUUCAAGAUGAGGCUUUUAAUAAUUUUGUUGCUGAAUUUGAUAGCAAUAAGCUGAACUCCAAAGACAGUAAUAGCAAAUCAGUAAAAGAAGAAGAAUUAGAGGCUGAAAUAGAGAGGCUUAGAGAGCAACUGAAGCAAGCAAAUUUCGAGAAGGUGGAAAUGACUUCAAAGUAUGAAAAGCUAUCUUCCAUUUGCCGAUCUCAGAGGCAAGAGAUACAGGAGCUCAAGCAAGCAAUGGCUACUAGAACUCCAUCACCAAAUAAGCAUCAUGCUUCCCCUAAAGUUCAAUCAUCAACAACUCCCAAGCGAGGAGAAUCUGACUGGAGUACCCCAAAUUCAGAGCCCAAGCCAUGGCAAGCAUUUGCAAAGGAUCCCAAGUCACAUCAGCAGCCUCUUUCAAAGGCCAACAGUCCUCAAUCUGUUAGGACACGAAAUGCAAACCAGAAAAUUCAGGUUUCUCAGGCAUCUUCUGAAUUUGAGUCAUGGGGUUUUGGAGCGGAUAGUUUUACAGCUUCUGUUGCUGCCAGCACUCAGAUUUCAGGACCCAGUAAUGAAGGAAAUAGUUCUCAGCACUUUGGUGGGGAGAAGACCGUGGGGAGUCGGCCAGCUACUCAACCUGCUGGAUGGGCUGGUUUCUAGCUCAUGCUAUCUGAGAAGUUACAGCGGAACGCUUUUGUCAGAACCAUGGUAUCUUUACUUUGCAGUCAUGCUUCAAAGAGAUAGGUAUACAGAGAAAUAAACAAUAUAUGGCUUCAGGGCUUGUCUUGAUGUAUUGAGUGCUUUUGAUUUAUAGAUUUACUUUUGCAAAUAGGACAUGUGCCCAUUAUUCUAUAGACUAAACAGCAGAGUACUUGUGUAUACUUUCCUGCAUGUCUCAAUUAUUAAGUAUUCAAUUUGUCUUUUAAUAUUUUCGUUUUCUGGAGCUCUACUGUUGGCUGUAGAGACAAGUAGAGCGGGUCCAUUUUGGUGCCCUAAGUGUAAUUACUACUUUGAGGAGACUGAAACGUGCAUUUUUCUGGAAACAAAGGCAAGUGUGUG